UUUUAACUAACUUAGCCGUUUGGUACUCCUCCGCAAGCACGAGGUACUACUGGCUUAAGCUACUCGUAUCAAUUAGAUUCAGGCACUCCAUAUCUUUCUUUCUUGUUUAUGGUCUUCGUAUCCACGCCCCUUUUGGUAAUCUUCACCUGAUUUGACUUGAACCGCUAGGUUUUAUUUUUAUUUUUUUUGUUUUCUACGUAGAAGGGUGAUGCGGAAGAAAUAAUUGUGGUGGUCAUCGGUGGUCUCCGUCAU
rnacentral:lncRNA from 1 species